UUCCUUAGUGAUAAUUCAGCCGGUAAACUGUGUGUCGAGGAGAACACCCCUCUCCUAGAAAGGGCCAUCUCUCUCAGACACAAGAAAGCCAAGCUCCUUAACUACGAGACCCACGC